AUUCAAAAUGGACCCCGUCGCCGGAUUGAACAUGAAUCAAAUUGGCAGAGCAGAUGUUAAUUUAAAAGGGUUAAUUAAUAGUAUAUUCGGACAAAUGAAGAUUAUUUAUACAGCAGUGCAUUGAGAAUAGCUUGAAAAUCAGCGGCAUGACACUGCGAGUACAUCACGUUAUUUUGCGAAUGCUCAACCUCUACUCUAACGAUUGUAUGACAGCUCCCAGACGAUUGCACCAGAUGAGAUUCCUAUGCGUGCUGACACUUAAUUAUACAAUUAGUAAAGGACGUGAAAGAUUCUCCAGAAUAUUCCAGGACGCUUUUCCUACGUGAAAAAGCGUAUCAAACAAGAAACCGUCAAUCAAAUUGAGCUAGCAUUCGGAUUCCUGAGAUCAAAGUACAUGAGGAUAGCGUACGGCACCCUUCAAAAAAAA